CUUUCGCUUCUGCGGCGCUCGUCGGAACCUUUGUCUCUCUGUUCCUCUUCUGAUGGCGUUCUACCCUGGGAACGUGGGUGUGCUACUCCAUGUGGUUUGCAUGAUCAGAGACUGCAGGAUGGAUCUCGGAGAAGACGACUCCUGCUGGGCCUCUAAGGCAACCAUGUAUAGACAUCCACAAUCUUCAGUCUCCUGAUCUCUGGGGUAAGCGUUUGUAUUUUGGCCCGUUGUAGGAAAUGCGUGUUUUAAAGAACUUUAGUUUGAUAGAUGACCUUGGAGAGAAAAAGGGAAGUUAAGGACAGCAAAUAAGCACAAAGGUGGAGGUUACCUACGUGGGGUCCAGAAGGAUGUGGUUUUGUCCUAUUGGCCUUACCCAGUUACCUAUGUCAUCAGUCCUCGCCAUGGUUUUUUUGCCCUUUUCUUCCUGCAAGAUUAAGUCACCAUUCCUCACAUCCCUUUGCUAUCAGUUGAGGAGUGGGUUAAAGAUUCAUGUCCAGCUAGGCGUAGGUAUACUCCCUAUAGUAGACAAGGCCUUUGGGGAUGUUAAUCUCUGGAGCCCUUUAGCCAAAUAUUAAUCAGUAGCCACGUCAAAGAAUGCGUUGAAGCCCAUGUUCUGCACUGACUGAGUUACUAUUUUGCUUCACUAGGGCAUACGGAAUUCUUUGGGUCAGGGAUCAGAUCUGAGCUGAAGCUGCAACCUACCCCACACAACACUGGAUUCUUUAACCCACUGCCAGGCUGGGGGGUCUAACGUAUGUCCUGGUGCUGUAGAGAGGCCCCAGAUGUACUGUGCCACGGAAUUUCCAAGUGGUUAAUGUGAUGACUUGUCUUUUUUUUUUUUUUUUUUUUUUUUUUUUCCNCCAUUUCUUGGGCCGCUCCCAUGGCAUGUGGAGGUUCCCAGGCUAGGGGUCGAAUCAAAGCUGUAGCUGCCAGCCUGCCCCAGAGUCACGGCAACGCCGGAUUGUUAACCCACUGAACAAGGGCAGGGAUCGAACCCGCAACCUCAUGGUUCCUAGUCGGAUUCGAAAACCACUGCCCCACGACGGGAAGUCCUGUGACGGCUUUUUUUUUUUUUUUUUUUUUUUUUUUUUUUUNCUAGGGGUCCAAUCGGAGCUGUAGCCGCCUGCCCACACCAGAGCCACAGCCACGCGGGAUCUGAGCCAUGUCUGCGACCUGCACCACAGCUCACGGCAACGCCGGAUCCUUAACCCACUGAGUGAGGCCAGGGCUCGAACCCACAACCUCAUGGUUCCUAGUCGGAUUCGUUAACCACUGAGCCAUGACGGGAACUCCUGUGAUGGCAUUUUUUUUUAAAGGAAAGCCAAAUAAAUGUACUUUGUUGGCCUAGUUACUUUUAUUACCCAGAAUCUUUUACCCACGCUUGUGGCAUGUGGAAGUUCCUGGGCCAUGGAUUGAACCUAGUUUUCGGUUUUGGUUUCUUUUUUUUUGGUUUGGUUUGGUUUGGUUUUGCUUUUUCGGGCUGCACCCAUGGCAUAUGGAGGUUCCCAUGCUAGGGGUCUAAUCAGAGCUACAGCUGCCGGCCACAGCCACAGCAACACAGGAUCCUUAACCCACCCACUACGUGAGGCCAGAGACCGAACCUGCAACCUCAUGGUUCCUAGUUGGAUUCUUUUCCGCUGUGCCACAAAGGGAACUCCGAAUACAUUUUCUAUUGAGUCCUGAAAUGCCACCUUAAGGGUGGGAUUUCUUGGACCCUGUUUUCCUUGAACUCUGAUCCCGAGUUCCUUGCAUUGAAUCAUCCUGACGCAAAACCCUGCAAUGACAUCUCACCUCAGCACAAGCCAGCCAUUUGCCCACAGCUUUGCCAAGCACACUGACCUCUCAGAUGUAAACUCAAAAGGUAGGAGUGUUUGUCUUAGCUAUUACUGCCAGCAGCAGCACACUAGAAGUGCUUUGAAUACUACAUGAAAUUGCAGGUAGAGAAUCAGACCAAGUCUAAUUCCUGGUUCAGGGUUCUUCAGAGGCCAAGAGCUUCUUACUGGCAUAUAUGAUGACUGAACUUUUUUCCCCAACAGAUCGACCAUGUUGAUCAAACUCUCUAAGCCAGUUUCUGUCUGAUAUGCCAGUUUGAGCAGCUCUUGUCCUCCACUCCCUUGGGUAUCUAGCUGAUGGAGCUCAUGUUUCAUUGUUUUCAUCUUAGGUUUACUAGUGGCAGAAAGCAGACUUUGAAUGGACUAUCAUUUGGAAAGAAUGGGUAAGUCAUGUCCAUUAACUGUUCCUUUUUAAAAGGGGUUAUCCCCCUCGCGUUCUAAUUACUGUGACCCAAAUAUAUGGCCAUUGCAGCUGAUGACUUUUCUCCCAGUCAGAUCGACCCUGUUGAUCUCACUGAAUUAGCCAGUUUUGUUGAUGGCAUUGGUCACAAAGACAACCUCAGUUUUCUGCUUACCAUCAACAGAUUUUGCUAUGUGGGAAUUGGGCUUGCUUCAAGGGUUUUUCCCCCCCUUAACCAAUCAAGUUAUUGGCUUCAUUUGUUGACUUUCUGCAGGACUAGAGCACCCUGUGUUCCUCAAGGCAAUGAGGAAGUGGAUUCCAGCCUGAUUUUGCCGUCAGCUUGGUUCAGUCUAUCCUGUAACAGGGCAUUUAUCAGCUAUGGACUUGGAAUACAAGGCCUCAAAUGACUGAUCCUGUGCUCUCCAGAGAAAGCAUGACUUGGUUGAUCAGUCUCACAAGAUGAUUCUGCAACCCAGGUAUCCAGAGUUGGAAAAGCCUCUGCCUGCUCUGAAGAAUCAGUUACUGAUUUUUAGCCUCCCUAUGUGGAAAAUAAAGCCCUUUAAAUCAAAA
rnacentral:lncRNA from 1 species